rnacentral:rRNA from 1 species
GACGAACGCUGGCGGCGUGCCUAAUACAUGCAAGUCGAACGCUGAAGGAGGAGCUUGCUUCUCUGGAUGAGUUGCGAACGGGUGAGUAACGCGUAGGUAACCUGCCUGGUAGCGGGGGAUAACUAUUGGAAACGAUAGCUAAUACCGCAUAACAGUAGAUAUCGCAUGAUAUCUACUUGAAAGGUGCAAUUGCAUCACUACCAGAUGGACCUGCGUUGUAUUAGCUAGUUGGUGAGGUAACGGCUCACCAAGGCGACGAUACAUAGCCGACCUGAGAGGGUGAUCGGCCACACUGGGACUGAGACACGGCCCAGACUCCUACGGGAGGCAGCAGUAGGGAAUCUUCGGCAAUGGACGGAAGUCUGACCGAGCAACGCCGCGUGAGUGAAGAAGGUUUUCGGAUCGUAAAGCUCUGUUGUAAGAGAAGAACGAGUGUGAGAGUGGAAAGUUCACACUGUGACGGUACCUUACCAGAAAGGGACGGCUAACUACGUG